CUUGGGUCAGUGGGUCCGAUGAUUUUGUUCACUGCUCAAUUGCCGCCAUUUGUAAUCGUUUCGGAUUAAAGCUAGGUUGAAGUGUCGCUGAAGAACAUUUUAUUUUCAGUAAAUAGACUUACAGGUUAAACGAAACCCGAUUGGAGCUUUGAAGACUUUUUCGUCCCUGUGGCAUCCGGAUUUGAUCCGCUGAACGGGCUAAAUAAAGAUUAGAAACCCGCUGGACGGCCGCUUUGACGCGAUGAUAUGUAACCGCACUAUGGACACAUGAAUAAUCAUGCUGAAGGGCGGAAUCCCAUAUCGCAAAAUUUCGCAAUUGAGAUACAACUUAGUAAAGGCAGGUCGCUACGCGUUUAUGUUGAGUAUACACUAAAAUCAUGA